GUGUAUGAAGAUGUGAAGUUGGGGUUUGGGUUUCUGUUUCUGAGUUGAAUUUUUGACUGUAUUCUUGUGUAUAUGAUUGAUUAAUCUUACUUCGGAGAUAUGAUUAAAAUCAUUAGCAAUUUGUGAAUAAAAAUUAACUUGGGCCCUUUGUGAAUUUGAACUACUACAAACCGUUCUAAUAUCUGUAAUUUGACGACACUUCAAAUCACAGUUACAUUCUUCUCUUGAAUAAGAUCUAUUUUGUUACUUUUAUAGUUCUGAUUUUAAUGCUUCUUCUCAAUGGAAACCCAAAUUGAAAACUCAAUUAAUUAUUGUGAUUUGUUUUGACAUCUUUUUAUUGUGAUCGAUGACAGUUCUGAUUAUAUUGUGCACAGAGUAAGUUUUCUAUCACUUUUCCUUUUGUUCUUCCUUUCUUAUUAUUGCUUAUGGCUUAUGCCCAUAAAGAUUUUAUUCUGAAGCACAUUCCUAAUAUUUUGUAAUUGAUUAUUGCAUUAGUUUGUUGCUAUUGGUUGAUCAUCAAGUUGCUGGAAGGUUCAAGGAUAACUACAUUGGGUGUCAUGCAACUCUCUUAACUACUUUUACAAUAGAUUACAAGCAGAGACCAUUGAAGUUUAUACUGAAUGGCUAAACAACCUUGGUAAAAAGCAAAGACCAUUGGGUCCUAAUGUUGUGAGAGUUUGGGUAGAUGCACGAAAAGUCCCAUCUGCAUCCCUUUGGAGACCAGCAUCUGAGUUGCAAAUCAUUGAAGAUGCUCUUGGUACUACAAUAGCAUAGAGCAUGGCCAGCAGACAAACUAAUUCUGCCUUAGAAUUAUGUCUUCAAGUUAGUGGAGGUUCCAGAGAAUAAUGAAAAGAGCAGAGUAAUGAGCCUGAAGGUGGUUAGUUGACUAUGUACCUCAGUUGGUUGUUACAUGCGUCCUACAAGUUUUAUCUUUAAGUAGGAGAGAUUUGCAAGGCUGAAUACUUUUCAGUUUUCAGUGAAGUACUAUAUGAGUUUGGUAGG